UUUUUUUGUACCGAGGGAUCGAACUCAGGACCUUGUGCUUGCAAGACAGGCUCCAGAACCACUGAGCUGAAUCCCCAGCCCUAAAAGUUUUUCUUUUUAAAGAGGUGGUUGGGGGAUACAGCUCAGUGCCAAAGCCCUGGCUCAGUAAGAAACAAGUGGGAGGAGGGAGGGUGGGAGGCCCGGCUUGGACACAAGUCAAGGCCACUGCUAGCCAACAGUGCACCUUUGGAUCACUUAGAAAAAUGCAUGCCGGGAGCGUGAUUUUUAAUCACCUUGCCCUUCUUCAGGCAAGACAGGCCCAGACCCACCCCGCGCUGCCGCUGCCGCUGCCCUUGCCACCCCCGCCAGCCCGCGAGCGCGACGGGAAGCUGCUGGAGGUGAUCGAGCGCAAGCGCUGCGUGUGCAAGGAGAUCAAAGGCGCGCCACCGCCCGGACCGCGGUCUCUGCAAGCAGGAGAGCAUGCCCAUCCUCCCUAGCUGGCGGCGGGGCCCGAGCCCCGGAAGUCCGGCACCCCGCCUUGUCGCCGGCAGCACACGGUCCUCUGGGACACGGCCAUCUGAGGGGGUGGGCGGCCCAGGCACCUGGACUGGGGUGGGGUGGGGAGCAGGGCAGGCCCGGCUGGACAGACUGAAGAACCAGGUGAGAGCGCCAGGGAGACCCGGCCUUCCACACUUGUAGCCCCCGGGACGGGGAGCCUGCCAGGCCCAUGGGGCGUGGGGUGCCCACAGCACCCCAAGACAUUGGGGAAGGUGGGGUUUGCUUGUGGGGGUCCGAUGGUGGUAGAACCCUCCUCCUGAGUGGGCAGAGGGCAGGGCAGAGGUGGCGGUGGGCAAGGGGAAGGAGGGAAGGGUCCAAUGGGUGGGUCAAAUGGAAGAGGGACUAGAGCCAGUGGGAGAGCCUCUCUGUCACAGAGCCGGGAUUUGGGGAGGGUCUUUAUUUUGUUAUUUAUUUUUGUCUGGAGGGCAGUUCCUGGCCCUUCUGACCCAUUCCUGAGCCAGGGUGGAGAACAAGGUCAAGCCUGCCCCUCUCCCCGUGGCCAAUGCCCUAAAGGCCCAGCCGUCCAUGCCCACCCCACAGUGAAGGAGGCGCCCCCCCCCCAGAGUAGAGGGAGCUGAGGGAGGGGCUCAGGCCAGCUGAGGGCCGCCGACCACUUACAGUAUUUACAGUUUUGCCCGAAUUUGGUAGUGAGCAAGGCCUGCUCUGAAACAGGCAUCUUCUUUAGUUCUAGGGUAAGGGGCUAGCGCCAGGGAUGGGUGGGGUGUGGGGAUGGAGGGAAAGUUUAGUGGGUGGGGGUGGGUGGGCAGGGUAUUUAUUUAAAUUUAAAAAACAAAAC
rnacentral:lncRNA from 1 species